rnacentral:rRNA from 1 species
UACGUAGGGACCGAGCGUUGUCCGGAAUCAUUGGGCGUAAAGAGCUCGUAGGCGGCCUGUUGCGUCCGCUGUGAAAUCCCGGGGCUCAACCCCGGGCCUGCAGUGGAUACGGGCUGGCGUAGAGGCAGGCAGGGGAGAACGGAAUUCCUGGUGUAGCGGUGAAAUGCGCAGAUAUCAGGAGGAACACCGGUGGCGAAGGCGGUUCUCUGGGCCUGUACUGACGCUGAGGAGCGAAAGCGUGGGGAGCGAACAGG